rfam:Proteus penneri ATCC 35198 genomic scaffold Scfld2, whole genome shotgun sequence.
AAACCCCUGCAAGGCUGGGGGAUCCCGUAAAGCUUUCAGCUUUGAAUAAGCUAUUAACUCCUUUUUAAUUUGUUAAAACAUCUUGCGGUCUGGCAACUGCAAGAGUCAAACAAAAAAAUCAGAAA